rnacentral:miRNA from 1 species
UAUGAUUCGUCUGUGAUGGUCUUG